rnacentral:rRNA from 1 species
CCCGAAAUUGGCGGGUGCUUACACAUGCAGUCGAACGAUGAAGCCCAGCUUGCUGGGUGGAUUAGUGGCGAACGGGUGAGUAACACGUGGGUGAUCUGCCCUGCACUCUGGGAUAAGCCUGGGAAACUGGGUCUAAUACCGGAUAUGACCUCGGGAUGCAUGUCCUGGGGUGGAAAGUUUUUCGGUGCAGGAUGAGCCCGCGGCCUAUCAGCUUGUUGGUGGGGUAAUGGCCUACCAAGGCGACGACGGGUAGCCGGCCUGAGAGGGCGACCGGCCACACUGGGACUGAGACACGGCCCAGACUCCUACGGGAGGCAGCAGUGGGGAAUAUUGCACAAUGGGCGCAAGCCUGAUGCAGCGACUCCGCGUGAGGGAUGACGGCCUUCUGGUUGUAAACCUCUUUCCCCCCUGACCAAACGCAAGUGACGGUAGUCGGAAAAAAAGCCCGGCCCUCUACCU